UUUUAAACCUCAUCCUCCAGAGUCUUCUUUUGUCAAAAUAUGCGAAUGCAAAGAAGAACUCCUAUUUAUUAUUGUUUUGAAGAGUUUGAAGAGCUAAGGUGUUUUCCCUGAGACUCGGUUUCAAAAUCAACAAACGGCCACCUGGCCUGAAAGAAAGGAGAAAUGGGGUCAGCUCCGUCAUCAGUCCUGGGCAUUAACAAGCCAAGUGGCGAGAGAACGCUCCUCGUCCCUGAUGUCCCCCAGUAAUGCUUCAGAAGCUGUCCAACCAGCAACCCUCCCCCCCCCCCGCCCCAGGUGUGGGGAGGGCCAGGCAGAAAGGUCACAGUGUUUGGUGUCUCGCCAUGACUGAGAGGGCUUGUUCGCCCGGCUUUUAAAAACUUAGAAUGGUGCCUCCCCCUACUCCCAAGGGUGAGAGAGAAGCCAAGUGUCCACAUUGUUAACUGUCAACGGAUCGUUCCCUCUCUGGUACAAUCGGAAUGCCAAGGAGGUGGGCCUAAAAAGCCCAAGGUAGUUAUAAACAUCUUUGGAAGUCGUUUUCAAACCAACACUGCCCAAGGACGAGGCCUAGAUUUAGGAGCAUCCCUCCAGCGCAGGACUUUACACAAGCCGCUUCCUCUGCCCGGAACACGCCAACUCAUCCUUCCUGUCUGGACUGGAGCCGUACCACUUCCUCAAGGAGACUGCCCAGCUGCCCUAACUAGGCCAAACCUCUCUGGGACACCAAGUACCUCAUGGCAGGACUAUGGUUAAGAUGUGAUAUAGAUUCAUGAGGUUACUGUGUCUCACUGCUACGGUGAAUGAAUGUCCAGGAGGAGUCUUUUUUUCUCUCUGAUUGGAAGGUCUAGUGCCCAGAUUGCUUAAAGAGGAAAAAUGUCAAAUGCACAGAAUCCUUCAGAGAACCAGCGGGCCCUGCCCUGAGCCCAGGCUAAUUAAGUGAGUGACUUAAGGGAGCUGCCUUCUCUUCAAGAUUAAGAGAGCCAACCUUCCUUUGCUGCACAUCUUGGCUGUUCCUGGUCCCCCUAUUAAUAGUAAUUCCCUCUAUCAAUAGCUCUUCCAUUAUGGUACCAGAGGAUUCCAGGAAAGUCUAACCAAGAUGUGUGCCAACCACAACAUUGAUACCAAGUGGGCACCACCGCUUUGCUAUCUGUUUAUCUCUUCAGACCUAUUUCUAAAGGUAUCUGAAGCAAUCCCGCAGAAUCCUGAGACAUCCUUUCUGCCUGAAGCUAAGCUGAAGCCUGAAAUGUGGGGUCUGCUGGGAGCCCCUGGGCUGGCUAGGGUAGUGGGUAAUAAUGUGUGAUGUGACAGAGAACACACUUCGAUGUCCACCGCCCCCCCAGCCCCGCCCAUCGCCCCCCCAACCCCGCCCUUACUGGCUACUUCCCUUUCUCUUCCCGUCUCUCCCGAUACUGUUCUUGAGGGGCAGUUCCAACAUUCUGAAGCACGGGUCUGACAGCCAAGUGAGAGGCUUGGCAAAGAAGACUUAAACUUUUCUUAUGACUGAAUUAAAAACUGGCAAUAAAAAUGUUCCAGCUUGGUGAUUAUACUGAUAA